rnacentral:rRNA from 1 species
GACGAACGCUGGCGGCGUGCUUAACACAUGCAAGUCGAGCGGAAAGGCGCUGCUCUUGCGUGGUGGUCGAGAGGCGAACGGGUGAGUAACACGCGUGUAACCUGUCCUUGACUUUGGGAUAACAUCAGGAAACUGGGGCUAAUAUAGGGGAGGAGCUCUUGCAGCACGGUGGGGGAUGGUAAAAUUCGGCGGUUGGGGCUGGUUUAGAUGGUUACGAGCUGCAUUGUGGGGUUGGGGAUUCCAAAGGCUUUGACGGGUAGGCGGCCUGGGAGGUCGAACGGCGACAUUGGGCCUACGGUACGGACCAGUCGCCUACGGGCGGCGGCAGUGGGGAAUAUGGCAGAAUGGGCGCAAGCGUGAUGCGGAGACGCCGCGUGCGGGAUGACGGCUUUCUGGUUGUAAACCGCUGUCGCCGGAGAUGAAGAGUGAGUGACGGUAACUGGUAAAGAAGCACCGGCUAACUACGUG